CGUCAGGAUGAACGCUAGCUACAGGCUUAACACAUGCAAGGUCGAGGGGCAGCAUGAAGUUGCUGCAAACUUGAUGGCGACCGGCGCGACGGUGAGUAACGCGUAUCCAACCUUCCCUAUACUAGAGGAUAGCCCGGCGAAAGUCGGAUUAAUACUCUAUGUUCUUCGUAGAAGACAUCUGAAAUGAAGCAAAGGUUUACCGGUAUAGGAUGGGGAUGCGUCUGAUUAGGUUGUUGGCGGGGUAACGGCCCACCAAGCCUACGAUCAGUAGGGGUUCUGAGAGGAAGGUCCCCCACAUUGGAACUGAGACACGGUCCAAACUCCUACGGGAGGCAGCAGUGAGGAAUAUUGGUCAAUGGACGAGAGUCUGAACCAGCCAAGUAGCGUGCAAGGAUGACGGCCCUAUGGGUUGUAAACUGCUUUUAUACAGGGAUAAAGUGCACUACGUGUAGUGUUUUGUAGGUACUGUAUGAAUAAGGACCGGCUAAUUCCGUGCCAGCAGCCGC
rnacentral:rRNA from 1 species